ensembl:snRNA U6 U6 spliceosomal RNA
GUGCUUGCUUUGGUAGCACAUUGACUAAAAUUGGAAUGAUUCAGGGAAGGUUAGCACAGCCCCUGUGCAAGGAUGACACACAAAUCUGUAAAGCAUUCCAUCAAAAA